UUCUCAGAAAUAGUUGACCCAAAAUACCAAAUUUUCCAAAAUUCCUCAAACCCUUUGGCGCCUAGAAUUUCUUUUUCCCUCGUCUCUCAUUUUCACACUCAAAUCUCUCUCUCUCUCUCUCUCUCUCUCUCCAUCUUCGCACUACUCAUCUCACUCCCAUUCCGACUCCUCCACCGGCAAGAGCACGAAUCUGCAGAGCAUCAAUGUCGAGGCACACUAUAAUAUGAGGAACCAGGGAUUCCAGAGAGCUCGAAUUUGCUGAGCAAGUUGUUGAACGCGUAAACCCUAACAUUAUGCUUGAAUCUGAUGCUCUUGAUCGACGACCCUCUGUGAUCUCCAAAUUUGCUCUUAAUCUCCAAAUUCGACUCCCUCAAGUAAAAGAUCUCUCCUUUGUUUCAUGGUUUAUAUAUGUGUUCGCGUAAUUUACUCUAUUAAUUUCUUCUUUUCACCUUCAUUUUUGUUCUACAUCUCUUCUUUAUCUUUUAUUACAUUCACUAAACUUGAUUGAAUUCACUGUUACUGUUUGUGUAUACACACACACACAUAUUUGUCAAUUUGUGGUGAUUUGUGAUUUUAUGUUUUUGAUUUAGGGGUUUCAUCAUUUCAUUAUAAAAAAAUUGCAAUUAAUUCCUGUGAAAUUUUUGUCCCAAUAUCUGUGGAACUAGUUUUUUUUUUCCUCUUGCCCUUUUCAUUCAGGGGUUUCAUGAUUUUGUUUUCAUUAUAAAAAAUUUUUGAUUAAUUUAUUUUUGGAAGAUUUACGAUCAAUUUGGGUCACUCAAUGAAAAGCAAAGUGAAAUUAUUAGUUGCAAAAUUCUAAAAUUAUUACUCCCCCAAAUGAGUUUACAACGCAAAUUGUAACUGUUACUCCCACAAAUGGGUUUUAUAGAGUAACUUGCAUAUAACCUAAAAUUUUGCAUAUCAUAGUAUUGUUUUCAUUUUCAAAGUUGUGUAAUAGUUUUAUGUUUUCAUUAUUUUUUUAAUAAGCAGUUUUAUUUAUGCUUGAUUUCAUGAAGUAGUACACAAAUUUGUAUGUUUCAUUAUUUGUGUUUUAUAUGGUCAUUGAAGAAUUUCUUCAAUUGCUACUAAAUUAAUUAGUUGAACAUUUUUUUUUUCAAGUGUUUGUCUAUCCAAUAUCCAUCAUACUUGCAGAGCUUGGAAGGCUCAACUUAAUUGAUUGGAGUUAAGUGAGUUGACCAAAGUUGAUUACUUUGUUAUGGACUUGGUGUAUAGAUUGAAAUCUAUUAAGGAUUGUGAUGGGUUAUAGCAUCUUGAAUGGAAGCAUGCUUAUUGUGGAGUGCUGUUGUAUAGCUUUGAUGUGGGUGUAGGCUUGGUACUUAGUUUUUCUUUGUUUGCUAAAUUGGGCUGUAUAUGGUACACUCAUUGUUUAGCCCAUUAAUCAUAAGUUUGACCACUCCUAUAGUUAAAAUUAUAUGCAUUUUUGCAUAUGAAUAACAAAAUAAUCAUUAACAUAUCAAUUGUAUAGACUUGCCGAGGCAAGUGUUCCAUUACUCUGACUUUUGGACCAUCCUCUCCUUAAGAAAUGGCCUUUUGGUUAAACUGACAAAGGGAUUAGUUGAUCGUUAGCAUAAUAAUAUGUUUAAACUUGAAGAUUAGCUGCAGUUAAUGGUAGUAGUUUGUCUCAGAAGAUGGGAGUGGGCUUAAGCAGCUCGAACAUCUUAUUUUGAAGGUCUUUACAGAAUCUCAAGCUAUUAGAAAACCAAUAUAUUGUAACAGAAGAAUCAUUUGUCACUCCAUGUUUUAUUCUUUGCUUAUUUCAUGAGAGAAAAUUAUUAGAGUGUAGUUAUUAGUAACUUUUCAUUGGAUUAAUUAACUUUAUUAAAGGAGAAAGUGAUGAUAUUCGUUCCCAUAUCUCUUAUGGUUGAUGAAGUUGUUAUCAUGUUUAAUGAUCUUUCGGUUUGCUUUUGUACUUGGUUUGCUUAAGAAGCACAUUGCUUUCCAUAUUGCAUGAGCAAGAAGGUGCACUUUGUUUAUUCGAUUCCUCUAUUUUUCUAUUUUCAGGUAUGGUCCUCUCUCUCACUCAAUUUCUCUAUUUUUCUAUCUUUGUUUUCCCUAAUUUUUAGAAUUAAUAUUUUCCCUAAUUUUUUGAAACUAAUGAGACACGCAGCGUCCCAUAUGUGAUUUCUUCGGACUAUAUUUUGUAUUUAAAGGUUAUGUUCUUCUUAGUUUCCAUGUGCUUGCCAUGUUAUUGGUUCUUUAUGGGCAUCUUGUAUUUUGCAUAUAUUUUCAGUUUGAAUAUAGUAAUUGAGAGCAAUUAGACAGUUUAAGUAGUGGUAAUUUAGAAGUGCCUAUCUUUGUUACUUGUCAGGAGGACUACCAUAGUAGAGGGGGCAUUUUCUGCUAUUUUUUUGUGAAUUGAAUGGGUGACCAAAAAAUUUAUGAUAGCAUGGUUGUGUCUAUUGAGAAAUACAUUUGAAAUAGCAUUCCAAAUGAGGUUAUUGUGUAUCAUUUUCAACAUAAAAAAGUUGUAGAAGCCAUUUGUAAAUCAAAUUUGCAAGAAAUAUUUGAUUUUUCAUUUUCAACUUGUUUUGAUGAUCAAUUAGGAUACAAUUUCAUGUGUGACUUUAGGUAAGUUUGGGUAAGGCAUAUCAAGUUUCCUAUGGAAAAAAGAGAGUGGAAUAAGACUGAUUGACCUUAUAAAGGGAUUGGCCAUAGCCAAAAAUGAAAUCAACAGAGCCUUGGAUGAAGCAAUUAUUGAAAUAGUGAAGGCCCUUGUGAUCAUAAAGGGUGUCUUGAGCACCAUAAAAACUGCAGUUAUAAAAUGCAGCUUAGUCCCUGAUAUCCUUAGCACCACUGCUUACCCUCCUGCUAAUCCAUCCUCAUGCGCUACUGUGUUCUGCAUUACCCCCCACCCACAUAAUUUAACAAAAAAUCCAAACACCGAGAAUUUAUGCUCAGAAUUUUAUUCCCAAAAUUAGUAAUGUACGGUUGGAAUUUAACUUUUGUAUGUUGAAGCAAUGAAUUCGAACCAUACAUUGAAAUUUUUUAGUAAAAAUUCUGUGUAUGUAGGAUUGUAGAGAAUUUAAUGAUGUAGAGACUCAAAAAAAAAAAAAGAAAAAAAAGAUGGUCCAUAAGCCUAAUUUGUUGUGUUGUGGGAACUUUGCAGUUGUGAGUUGGCUUGGAUUAAAGCCAUGAAGGUUCUGAAUUUCUUUUCUGAAAACCCGUGAUCUCAUGAAUGUGUUGUUCUUAUGGACUCCAUAAGGGAUGCCAAUUUUGAUUGUUUUGGUCUUUUGGAGUGAUUCAAGUAGCAUGGGAAUGUCUUUCUGUCUCUUCUUAUUCCAUCAUAUACAACAGUCUCUUCUUGUAAACCAUAAUAAAUUGAUGUUGGAUAUGCAACAAAAUAUGGUCAAGGCAACAUCUAGUUACAGUAAUGUUAUACUUAACACAAACAAAAUCUAAUUAUCUAAUUAUUAAUUGAAUUAUUAGGACUAUGUGGCAUUGGUGACUAUCAAGUCAUUUGGCCAAGGAAGAUUGCCGUCUAAUUUUUAAACUCUGGCAUCUAAUUCCCUUUUUUCUUGAAUUGUUUAGGAUUCCAGACCACUUACAUAGUUCCUCACAAAAAAUCCUUAUUAUUUAUUGUAGUCUAAUCCAACAAAGCCUUAUUGUUUAUAUGUAUAUAUUCUUUUUCUGGGUGCUGUUGGUAUGUUUGUCCCCUUCCCUCUUAUAAGCACUUCUAGAGACAGAGGGAAAGAGAGCAAAGGUACUAAUGUGCUGGAAUUUCCCUUUGGAUGGCAUGUGGCAACAUCAUGAUAGGACAUAGUCAAGAUGGGUAGUGUCCCUUGGUCAUAUGGACAAUCAAUAUUCAAAAUGGUAAAAGAACUGUGCCAGGGAGUCUAUGGCUUUCAACUGAAGUUCUCAAAUCUGGACCAUCCUUUCUUCCUCUGGCUAAGGUGUCACCUAUUGGAUUAAUUGCAUGGAAGAUGUCAUUUAUGUACCCAUAAGAUCACAGCCAUGAUCACUACUCACAACAUGAAUCAAGUGCUUAUAAUUUAUAGCUAUGUAUGAAUUUAGGUAAUUUAUGAGAUUAGGUAAUUUUAGUUUUCCUCUGCAUUAGUUGAUCAACAGAAAUUCAGUGAUUAACAUCAAGAGAAUGGCCAUGUUUACUAUGUAAAAUGUAUGGCGAAAACUUGGACACGAUGACAUUUUGUUGUUUUUUAUUUUUUGUCAUUGAGGUAUGCUAUUUUUUGAAAAAACAUCAAAGUAUUUUAGUUGGUUUUUUUUUUUAGCAAUGUUAUAUGUUAUUAAUUUUUCAUUAUCUUUUUAUAUUACUAUUUAUAUGAAUCAUCAUAUGAUAUAUCUUAUUUAGUGAUAAUUAUUAAAAAAUCAGAGCAUAAACAACUCCAGCUUCCAAAUCCUUAAAUACCUUCUAGAAGCAUAACAACCAACGUGAACAAUUACUGAAAAAGCUCUAGCUCAAGUAAGCCUUAGAGAAGUGAUCAAAUUUAGAAACCAAGUUCAAUGACAUGGUAGCAGAUAUAAUGGAUUAAAAUGACGAACUCACCAAAUUCUUUGGUUUUAUCUUAUCUGGUUUUGGUUUAGCUUUGGUUGGUGAUUGGCAUUUGUACGAGAAAUUAGCUCCAAAUUCUUUGAUGUUGUUUCUCCCAAAAAACUUGAUGUCUGUUGCUCUUGUUUUUUCUGCAUGGUGGUGAUGCUCAAGAACAAAAUUGCUUUUAGUGAUCAUUGUUUUUUCUCUCAUGUGUAUUGCUGACUUAAUUAAAAAAAAUAUAAAGUAUUUAUUCUAUUUUUCUCUUAUUUGAAAACUUGAUCCAGAUUUGAUUUGAUCCAAUCUCUGUUCAGUCUAGAAGGGAUGUAUUUACCUGGUUAUUUUUCUUAGAGUUGAUUUGACCUUAAUCAUCCUUCUCUUAUUUUUACUUCUCUAGCUUUAAUAUUGCACAACUUUCUCACAAGGGAAAAACAUGAUUCAGCUGAAAGUUGUACUUGUAAAAAACAAAAAUGAAAGUUGAAAAUAUUAUGAAAUGUAUGAUAGAUUUGAUUCUAAAAGAGAAGCUUUGUUUCCUCUAUUUUUUGGUCAAAUCUAAUAGAGAAGAUAAAUCUCUAUGAAAAUAAUUAGAUCAUCUGCCACCUUGAUGGAAAGUUCUUAAUGUUUUUACCUUCCAAGAGCACAUCUGAAGAAAACAUGAUGAUGAAGAUGAAAAGUUUAUGUAAAUAUUGUACAAAAUAUAAUGUAUUUGGACCCUUGUAAUUUAUAGGAAUAGCCCCUCAUGUGCUUGUAUAUGUGGUGCUUUAACAGGUUGGAGGCUUCUCCUUUGUUUGCCAAUUUCUAUGCUGCUCCUAUUGUGCUGUCUGCUACUUUUGUGCUGGCGUUGCUUAGGACAAUAUGAUAAAGUUCCAGGAUGCACAUUGCUCCGAACCUGGUGUGGUUCCAAUUACUCCAGAGGAGCUAUCUGUGAAGGUGCUCAAGUGAAGGUCGGGAUAUGUUAAAGGACUUGGUUUGAGGCCUUCAUCCUUGGUCAGGACUACCACUGCUUCUACUGACUCUGACUAUGUAAGGCGUCUGGAGAUGAAAAUACAAGGCAAAAGGAGGAAAUUCAGUCACAAAAAAAGGAAAUUACAACAUAGAAACAUGAAUUCAAGCACAAAAUUAUGUGAUAGCAAAGAUGAAUGAGUUGAGUGAGGAGCAUUUGGAGAUAAUGUCAAGUAUCAUGGAGUUUCUUAAGAAACAAGGUUUCAACGGGCAAUUUAGGGGAGGGGGCAUCCCAUGACUCGUAGAUCGCCUUUUUGAUUGAUUUUUGAUGACUUUUGGAAGCAUACUUGCAAAUCAAGAUCAAGUGUUAGUUUCUUUUAUUUAUUUUAUGGAUGGACACUUAAUUCUACUUGCAACUCAAGAUCAAGUGUUGAUUUUAUUUUUUUGGACUGAUACUUAGUUCAUUUUGGGAUUUGUUGUGAUCUUCUUUGUUAUAGUUAAUGAAUCGUUAUUAAAUUUGUUUGAUGGAUAUAUUUUGGUUUAUAAUAUAAAUAGUUUAGCGAAUUUUUUGUG